UGGAAAAUCACUGAACCCUGAUCCCGGUUCAGCCCACAACAACCCAAAAUCGAACUUCCCUGCAUUUUCCCAUUCCUCUCUGAAAACAAAAACCACUGAAAAAUACAACAUGAAGUUCACUGACUCGCCGGUAAUCGAACUCCCCGUCGCCAACGCCACCCUCUCUCUCCACCAAAACAACGGCUCCAUGCACGUCGGAACCUCCGUCUGGCCCUGCUCCCUCGUCCUCGUCAAAUUCGUCGACCGCUGGAUCCACUCCCCACCCGACAACAACCCCUACACCCACCUCCUAAACUUCCCAACCAAACGCGCCGUCGAACUCGGCUGUGGCUGCGGCGUCGCCGGUAUGGGCCUUUACCUACUAGGCCUAACGGACAUAAUCCUCACCGACAUCUCUCCCGUGAUGCCCGCACUGAAGAAGAAUCUCAAAGUGAACAAACCUGUUCUCAAGAAGAAUCUCAAAUACUCGAUUCUUUACUGGAAUAAUAGGUCUCAGAUUGAGGCUCUGAAUCCUCCGUUUGAUUUUGUUAUUGCGGCGGAUGUUGUGUAUAUUGAGGAAUCGGUUCCGGAGUUUGUUUCUGCCAUGGAAGCGUUGCUGGCUGAAGAUGGUGUUGUUUUGCUUGGUUAUCAGAUUAGGUCGCCGGAGGCUCAUGUGCUUUUUUGGGAAAUGUGUGGGGGAGUUUUUGAUGUUGAGAAAGUUCCUCAUGAGCAUCUUCAUCCUGAGUAUGCUUAUGAGGAAGCUGAUGUUUAUCUGUUGAGGAAAAAGAAAAAGCAGUGAUGAUGGGCUUUAGGGGUUUUAUGUGGUACCAGUACCACUCAAGAUGAAAGGAAAAUUUUAUCUGACUGCGUUAAGACCUGCAAUGUAGAAUGAGAGAGAAUGUUGGGCGGUGCAGGUAAGUGUAGUAGAUAUGUGGAUGUUGCGUUGGAUGUGUGGUAAGACUAGACAUGAUACGAUUAGAAAUGACAAUAUUAGAGAGAGUGUUGGGGUAAUCUAUAGUAGAAAAGACGGUGGAAAAUAAAUUUAGGUGGUUUGAGCAUGUAGAGAGAAGAUUUGUAGAUUUGUAGUAAGGAGAGUAGAUCAAAUAGAGAGAAGUCAAACAGCUAGAGGUAGAGGAAGACCUAGAAAAACUAUUAGAAAAGUUAUUAAGAAAAAUAUCGAGAUUAACGAUUUGGAUAGAAGCAUAGUCUUGGAUAAAACAUUAUGGCGAAAGUUGAUCCAUCUAGCUGGAUGUUGUUGUAGCUGCUAUUUGACACCAUUUUAUACUAAAUAGUAGUGUAUUGCAGAACCAUUGUUAUUUGUUCAUAUUUGGCUAAGCUAUUGCCGUUAGUUAACAAGACUUGUUGAACUGAUUUGAUUAAUCAAGUGAUUUAUAGCAUCUUCUAUUUUGGAGUAAAGAUAUGAAUUCAGUUAAAAAAAGAAGAUAGUUGUGUUGUUUUAGCUUCUGCUAUACACAAUUUUGGCUAAACUCCUCGUUAGUUUAUUAUAUUAUUAGAGUAAACUUGUUAGCUUAUAUACAAGAUCAUAACUUUUGGAACAAAGAAACAUGGGUAAAAUUUUGGGACACACAUUGCAUGUCUUGGCUUGAUUGAUCUUUUGACAAAUCGUGUAGUUAGCAGAGAUGUGAAUUGCGGUUUAGCUUUUUGAUAAGUUAUAUAAGUACCAAAAUAGAUGAGACAAAAGGAAAAAUCAUUUUACUAAUAUUGAACUCAGACCUGUACCGAGACUCUCUGUUUUGAAUGUUUGUUCAUGACUGCCUGCGUUGCAAUUUUUUUUUUCAUAUGGAUCUUGUAAUGAUGUUUAGGUUCGUCUUUGUUUUCAUUCUAAUAAGUAGAGGUAAAGAGACUUGCCCAGCAGUUUAGCAGUGAAUCAAUGAUGUCUAGUAGCAGCAGCUAUAGAGCUGAAAAGUAGCCGAAUUUGAAGCAAUUCUUACUGUUCUGCAAUAGUCUAAUUAAUUUAGUAUAAAGUGCUGUCAAAUAGGGCUAAAGUGGCCGGUGAUUUCAAAUAGCUGCACCAUGGCCUCAAUGGCAGAUAUACAUGGCAGUUUUGGACUCGCCGUGAUGGUAACUAUCAUCUGAUAUUGCGGGGUUUUCCUCCAUAAUUCGCUAUAACAGUGCCGCAAAGCGGCUGGUAUGGUGGGAUUUAGGCUCUCCGCCAUGGACCGCCCUCUGCCAUAGGCAACAUUAGUGGCGCAUUACAACAUCUGUAGCAUAAUGGAUUUUGAACAAAUUGCUAUUUUCCCGAUGUGCAACACUGCAGUGUAGUAUAGGUCCUUGAGAAACUUUUUGUGGAGAAAGAUUGUUGCUAACAGGCGUGCCAGUGCCCGUGUUCAUGUUUGCUGAUCAUCAGAUGAUUCCCAGCACAUCCAUAAAAACUCGACAGACAAAUGUUUCCGCAUGCUCGCUGCUGACUUGGUUUUGGGAUUUAGGAUUCCUUGUUAUGGUUGUUGAAGAAAUGGUUAUGAUACAAAUUUUCAUGUCGAAAAUUGUUAGGCCUAAUAAGCAAAACAAUUAUAGUUGAACUGAUCUUAAUUUUUAUGGCUGUUGAAGAUUUAGGAUACCAUCUUAUGGUUGUUAAAGUUCUUAUUGACUUGAUUGUAAUUCACGUAAUUUACACCGAUGUAUUGACACAGUAUUCGACUCUUUCAGUAUAAACUACCUAAAAUAGAAACACAGCUGAAGGUCAUGGAGGAUGAUCAAGAAAAAAAUGAUUAUAUGGAAGUCUUAUAAAAGGCAUAUGAAGAGGUUAAUUUCUAUUUUGAAAGUUUAAAGUAUAAUCAAUAUUCAGUAAUACUACUAUCUAAUAUAAACACAUUUAUAAUCAAAACAUAUUUAUAGUAAAAAACAGACAUAAUUGUAUUUCAAGACUUGCUUAAGGUAAAAGUCAUGUUUGU